UACGUAGGGUGCAAGCGUUGUCCGGAAUUAUUGGGCGUAAAGGGCGCGUAGGCGGUGCGGUAAGUCACCUGUGAAAUCUCCUGGCUCAACUGGGAGCUUGCAGGCGAAACUGCCGUGCUGGAGUGUGGGAGAGGUGCGUGGAAUUCCUGGUGUAGCGGUGAAAUGCGUAGAUAUCAGGAGGAACACCUGUGGCGAAAGCGGCGCACUGGACCACAACUGACGCUGAGGCGCGAAAGCUAGGGGAGCAAACAGG
rnacentral:rRNA from 1 species